GCUUGUCUCAAAGAUUAAGCCAUGCAUGUCUAAGUAUAAAUAACUACACAGUAAAACUGCGAAUGGCUCAUUAAAACAGUUAUAGUUUAUUUGAUACAUUAAAUGGAUAACUGUAGAAAAACUAGAGCUAAUACAUGCCAAAACCGCAAGGUUGUAUUUAUUAGAUAACAGACCAUCUCCCCCAAAGGAAAUGUGGUGAAUCAUAGUAACUAAUCGGAUCGCAUGGGCUUUGCCCGCGACAAACCAUUCAAGUUUCUGCCCCAUCAGCUUUCGAUGGUAGUGUAUUGGACUACCAUGGCUAUUACGGGUAACGGAGGAUUAGGGUUCGAUUCCGGAGAGGGAGCCUGAGAAACGGCUACCACAUCUAAGGAAGGCAGCAGG
rnacentral:rRNA from 1 species